rnacentral:rRNA from 1 species
UGGGGAAUAUUGCACAAUGGGGGAAACCCUGAUGCAGCGACGCCGCGUGAACGAAGAAGGUAUUCGUAUCGUAAAGUUCUGUCCUAUGGGAAGAUAAUGACAGUACCAUAGAAGAAAGCUCCGGCUAAAUACGUGCCAGCAGCCGCGGUAAUACGUAUGGAGCGAGCGUUGUCCGGAAUUAUUGGGCGUAAAGGGUACGCAGGCGGUUUAAUAAGUCGAAUGUUAAAGAUCGGGCCUCAACCCCGCAAAGCAUUGGAAACUGAUAAACUUGAGUAGUGGAGAGGAAAGUGGAAUUCCUAGUGUAGAGGUGAAAUACGUAGAUAUUAGGAGGAAUACCAGUAGCGAAGGCGACUUUCUGGACACAAACUGACGCUGAGGUACGAAAGCGUGGGGAGCAAACAGG